GUUCUUAUUCGCUGACAUUUGUUUUCCAAUUGCGUGAAAUUUGGUCAUUUCCUUAGUGUUUUCCUGGCCGACCUGUGCUGGUAUUGUAAUUAGGAGCUAAUACACGUAAGUUGCAACAUAUUAUUUUGACUUCAUUGAUGAACCAUUCCAUUUGCAGCAUUCUCUGGUGAACUGCAGCUGCGGCCGAAUUUGAUUGUGUGCAUCACCCUGCAGAUAUUUUGAAGUAAGUUGGAACCAGCUCUUAGUUAUUUCAAAACCUAAUGAACCAUUUAUUCGCAGAUUUUGUGGACGUUUCUGCUGUGCUGCGUUCCUGCUCCGCCUGUGUAUUGCUCCGCCCGUGUCGCUGUUGCGCCUUUGAAUUAGUGUGUGCGUUGUGCUUUAGACACGUUGAAAUUGUUUGUAUGCUUCUGCUGUGCUGCGUUCCUGUUUCACCCGUGUAUUAGAUUGCUGCUUUCCUGUUAAUAUACACAUCGUCGUUUAAAGUACGAAACCGCGUAACUGACAUUUGCUGCUAAAAAUUGGAUUUGCUCACACAAGUUCUGGGCUCAAUCCUUAUCCAUUCUUCCUGAAAUAUACUAGCCAAAAAUGCGAUUGCUUUUUAAAAAAAGAUAACCAUUUUGAAAUAUGAGUGUUUUUACUCUCUAGAAAAUAAUUUAUGCAACCUCGCAUACGUGGGUUUGCAUUAUCUUGAUACACGGUUUUGUACUUUAAAC